GCAGUCUUGGCCGAGUGGUUAAGCCGAUGGAUUAGAAAUCCAUUGGUGUGUCCUCACACAGGUUCGAAUCCUCUUGACUGCG
rfam:Ixodes scapularis strain Wikel colony gcontig_1108379000780, whole genome shotgun sequence.